AUAUUGGGGUCUAACAUGCUCGAGUAGGGAAAACCCUGAGUUAAACCUGACAAAGGAGGGCAUGGAUAAGAUAACUAGCCAUGAAGUGCAUGGAGUUGGGGGAGGAAAGGAAGGAAGCACAAGGAGAACUAAACUGAAUGCCCUAUUAUUAACACUGCUCGGUGAGGAGAGGACGGUGAGAAACUUGGUUUGAAGUGACGGAUAUCUGUGACUGGAUCGCACACUGCUUCCAGCAGAAUACGACUGUCUCCAAAUAAAUGCUGCUGGUGCUACAAUGAGCCAAUGAUGAGGAAAUAAAGAUAAUGUGCACUAAAUCAUUUACAUGUUGUUUUAAGUCCAAAUAAAAACAAGGCACAAACAAAGA